rnacentral:rRNA from 1 species
GACGAACGCUGGCGGCGUGCCUAAUACAUGCAAGUCGAACGCCGUUGAGAAAGGGUGAGUAACGCGUAGGUAACUGCCUCAUCGCGGGGGGUAACUAUUGGAAAAGAUAGCUAAUACCGCAUACUGUGAGAUGGACCGGCGUUGUAUUAGCUAGUUGGUGAGGUAAAGGGUCACCAAGGCGACGAGACAUAGCCGACCUGAGAGGGUGAUUGUCCACACUUGGACUGAGACACGGCCCAGACCCCUACGGGAGGAAGCAGUAGGGAAUCUUCGGAAAUGGACGGAAGUCGUAACGAGGAACGCCGGGUGAUUGAAUAAGGUUUUCGGAGCCUAAAGCAUUGGUGUUUGAGGAGCGGUAACUAAGCAGAAAGGGACGGCUAACUACGUGCCAGCAGCCGCGGUAAUUC